rnacentral:rRNA from 1 species
GCGCAGCAGGCGAGAAUUUUUCUCAAUGGGGGAAACCCUGAAGGAGCGACGCCGCGUGGAGGAUGAAGGCUUUCGGGUUGCAAACUCCUGUCAUUUGAGAACAAGUGCCAACAAAUAACUACUGUUGGCUUGAUAGUAUCAGAAGAGGAAGGGACGGCUAACUCUGUGCCAGCAGCCGCGGUAAUACAGAGGUCCCAAGCGUUGUUCGGAUUCAUUGGGCGUAAAGGGUGCGUAGGUGGCGUGGUAAGUCGGGUGUGAAAUUUCGGAGCUUAACUCCGAAACUGCAUUCGAUACUGCCGUGCUUGAGGACUGGAGAGGAGACUGGAAUUUACGGUGUAGCAGUGAAAUGCGUAGAGAUCGUAAGGAAGACCAGUGGCGAAGGCGGGUCUCUGGACAGUUCCUGACACUGAGGCACGAAGGCUAGGGGAGCAAACGGGAUUAGAUACCCCUGUAGU